rnacentral:rRNA from 1 species
AGUAAUGCGUGACCAACCUGCCCCAUGCUCCAGAAUAGCUCUUGGAAACGGGUGGUAAUGCUGGAUGCUCCAACUUGACGCAUGUCUUGUUGGGAAAGUGUUUAGUGGCAUGGGAUGGGGUCGCGUCCUAUCAGCUUGUAGGCGGGGUAAUGGCCCACCUAGGCUUCGACGGGUAGCCGGCCUGAGAGGGCGGACGGCCACAUUGGGACUGAGAUACGGCCCAAACUCCUACGGGAGGCAGCAGCC